rnacentral:lncRNA from 13 species
GGAGGGAGUUUUGCCGUUUGAUUGGGGCUUCCGUCAGUCUCUCUUCCGGCUUUCACCCCCAGUCUAACGGUCAAGCAGAACGGGCCAAUCAGACUAUUGGUCGCAUCUUACGCAGUCUUUCUUUUCGUAACCCUGCGUCUUGGUCAGAACAGCUCCCCUGGGCAGAAUACGCCCACAACUCGCUUCCUUCGUCUGCGACCGGGCUAUCUCCUUUUCAGAGUAGCCUCGGGUACCAGCCUCCGCUGUUCUCAUCUCAGUUCGCCGAGUCCAGCGUCCCCUCCGCUCAGGCUUUUGUCCAACGUUGCGAGCGCACCUGGAAGAGGGUCAGGUCUGCACUUUGCCGUUAUAGGACGCAGACUGUGAGGGCUGCUAAUAAGCGUAGAACUAAGAGUCCUAGAUAUUGUCGCGGUCAGAGAGUUUGGCUCUCCACUCAGAACCUUCCCCUUAAGACGGCUUCUCGCUAGUUGACCCCGCGGUUCAUUGGUCCGUUCCGUAUUUCUCGGGUCAUUAAUCCUGUCGCAGUUCGACUUCUUCUUCCGCGAUACCUUCGUCGCGUCCACCCGGUCUUCCAUGUCUCCUGUAUCAAGCCCGUCCUUCGCGCCCCCGCUCGUCUUCCCCCCCCGCCCCCCCCAUCCUUAUCGAGGGCGCACCCAUCUACAGGGUCCGUAGAAUUUUGGACAUGCGUCCUCGGGGCCGUGGUCACCAGUACCUCGUAGAUUGGGAGGGGUACGGUCCUGAGGAGAGGAGUUGGGUUCCCUCUCGGGACGUGCUGGACCGUGCGCUGAUCGAGGAUUUCCUCCGUUGCCGCCAGGUUUCCUCCUCGAGUGCGCCAGGAGGCGCUCGGUGAGUGGGGGGGUACUGUCAUGUACUGUCAUGUUGUGUCUUGUCUCUGUCCUUUCCCUUCCCUUCACCCUGUCUCCCUCUGCUGGUCGUUGUUAGGUUACCUUUUCUCCCCCAGCUGUUCCUUGUCUCCUCUGACUACCCAUUCACCCCGUUUCCCACCUGUUCCCUUUUUCCCUCUGAUUAGGUCCCUAUAUCUCUCUCUGUUUCUGUUCCUGUCCUUGUCGGAUUCUUGUUUGUUGUGUUUCAUGCCUGAGCCAGACUAUCGUCAUGUUUGCUGUAACCUUGUCCUGUCCUGUCGGAAUCUGCCGGUCUAUCUGAGCCUACCUAUGUUUGGUUAUUAAAGAAGCUCUGUUUAAGUUAGUUCGCUUUUGGGUCCUCAUUCACUCACCAUAACAAUACGUCUAAACCAGCUGCGGGGAGCUAGAGUGGAACCAUCCCCUUACAGAAACACAACAUUAGUAGAAUAGAAAUGUCUUACUAUUGUUAAGCAUAUAAUUGUUAACUAUUAAUAUUCAACAAAUCAGGUAAAUGCGUAAUUGUUCUCCCACAAUAGUGCCAACUGUAAAGUUUGGUGGAGGAGGAAUAAUGGUCUGGGGUUGUUUUUCAUGGUUCAGGCUAGGCCCCUUAGUUCCAGGGAAGGGAAAUCUUAACAUUACAGCAUACAAUAGCAUUCUAGAUGAUUCUGUGUUUUCAACUUUGUGGCAACAAUUUGGGGAAAUCCCUUUCCUGUUUUAACAUGACUAUGCCCCCAUGCACAAAGCGAGGUCCAUACAGAAAUGGUUUGUUGAGAUUGUGUGGAAGAACUUGACUGUCCUGCAGAAAGCCUUGACCUCAACUGCGAGCCAGGCCUAAUCGCCCAACAUCAUUGACCGACCUCACUAAUGCUCUUGUGUCUGAAUGGAAGCAAGUCAUGGCAGCAAUGUCCCAACAUCUAGUGGAAAGCCUUCCCAGAUGAGUCGAGGCUGUUAUAGCAGCAAAGGGGGGGUCAACUCCAUAUUAAUGCCCAUGAUUUUGGAAUGAGAUGUUCAACAAGCAGGUGUCCACAUGCUUUUGGACAUCUAGUGCAUGUUGUAAGCUACUUUAGUUUCAUGUCCUGCUGGUAUAGCACUUAGAUGAGUUAUUGGAUGAUUACUAAAAGGCUCACUAGGAGACAUUUCACUCCUGUUCUCAUUCUUGUUCCCUUUCCCUAUCAUCCUGAAUCCAAGGCACUCGCUUCUUGACCACCCACCCCUUAAAAUAAUUUGCUGGGAAAACAGCCAGUUUGAAGGUCACUAUGUGGUAAUGAUGUCCUCUUUUCUAGCUAUGUGUGUGGCUACUUCAUGUGUUAACAUUCUGAUGUCAGUAUUUUCAAGUUCCCAUGCAGUCUUUGCCAAGUAACAUUUUUAACAGUUUAGGUCCUUUAGGGGAAAUAUAAUUUGUUGUUGUUUUGAAUGGAUCAAAUGUCAUGUUUGUUAUGUCUGUCUGCCAAUUUAGUCAAUAUAGUGCUAAAACUUCCUGCAGACAAGAACGUUUCGCUUUGCGCAUUAUGUAUUGUGUGCAGUUUGAUAAAGUAAGUCUACACCAAGAAAAGGUGUCAGCCUGCAACAAAACUAGUGGUUAUGAUGAAUAUAUUAGCUCUGAGACAAC